ACACAUGCAAGUUGAACGAGCGAGAGAGAGCUUGCUUUCUCGAGCGAGUGGCGAACGGGUGAGUAACGCGUGAGGAACCUGCCUCAAAGAGGGGGACAACAGUUGGAAACGACUGCUAAUACCGCAUAAGCCCACGGGUCGGCAUCGACCAGAGGGAAAAGGAGCAAUCCGCUUUGAGAUGGCCUCGCGUCCGAUUAGCUGGUUGGUGAGGUAACGGCCCACCAAGGCGACGAUCGGUAGCCGGACUGAGAGGUUGAACGGCCACAUUGGGACUGAGACACGGCCCAGACUCCUACGGGAGGCAGCAGUGGGGAAUAUUGCACAAUGGGGGAAACCCUGAUGCAGCGACGCCGCGUGGAGGAAGAAGGUCCUCGGAUUGUAAACUCCUGUUGUUGGGGAAGAUAAUGACGGUACCCAACAAGGAAGUGACGGCUAACUACGUGCCAGCAGCCGCGGUAAAACGUAGGUCACAAGCGUUGUCCGGAAUUACUGGGUGUAAAGGGAGCGCAGGCGGGAAGACAAGUUGGAAGUGAAAUCCAUGGGCUCAACCCAUGAACUGCUUUCAAAACUGUUUUUCUUGAGUAGUGCAGAGGUAGGCGGAAUUCCCGGUGUAGCGGUGGAAUGCGUAGAUAUCGGGAGGAACACCAGUGGCGAAGGCGGCCUACUGGGCACCAACUGACGCUGAGGCUCGAAAGUGUGGGUAGCAAACAGGAUUAGAUACCCUGGUAGUCCACACCGUAAACGAUGAUUACUAGGUGUUGGAGGAUUGACCCCUUCAGUGCCGCAGUUAACACAAUAAGUAAUCCACCUGGGGAGUACGACCGCAAGGUUGAAACUCAAAGGAAUUGACGGGGGCCCGCACAAGCAGUGGAGGAUGUGGUUUAAUUCGACGCAACGCGAAGAACCUUACCAAGUCUUGACAUCCGUUGACCGACAUAGAAAUAUGUUUUUCCUUCGGGACAGCGAGACAGGUGGUGCAUGGUUGUCGUCAGCUCGUGUCGUGAGAUGUUGGGUUAAGUCCCGCAACGAGCGCAACCCUUAUGGUCAGUUACUACGCAAGAGGACUCUGGCCACUGCCGUUGACAAAACGGAGGAAGGUGGGGAUGACGUCAAAUCAUCAUGCCCUUUAUGACUUGGGCUACACACGUACUACAAUGGCGUUAAACAAAGAGAAGCAAGACCGCGAGGUGGAGCAAAACUCAGAAACAACGUCCCAGUUCGGACUGCAGGCUGCAACUCGCCUGCACGAAGUCGGAAUUGCUAGUAAUCGUGGAUCAGCAUGCCACGGUGAAUACGUUCCCGGGCCUUGUACACACCGCCCGUCCC
rnacentral:rRNA from 1 species